GCCUACACAUGCAGUCGAGGGGCAUCACAUGAAGCAGCAAUGCGGAUGGUGGCGACCGGCGCACGGGUGAGUAACACGUAUGCAACCUGCCUACAACAGGGGGAUAACCCGUUGAAAGACGGACUAAUACCCCAUAAUACAGGGGUCCCGCAUGGGAAUAUUUGUUAAAGAUUAAUCGGUUGUAGAUGGGCAUGCGUUCCAUUAGCUAGUUGGUGAGGUAACGGCCCACCAAGGCAACGAUGGAUAGGGGAACUGAGAGGUUUAUCCCCCACACUGGUACUGAGACACGGACCAGACUCCUACGGGAGGCAGCAGUGAGGAAUAUUGGUCAAUGGACGCAAGUCUGAACCAGCCACGUCGCGUGAAGGAAGACGGCCCUACGGGUUGUAAACUUCUUUUGUAAGGGAAUAAAGUGUAGUACGUGUACUAUUUUGCAUGUACCUUACGAAUAAGGAUCGGCUAACUCCGUGCCAGCAGCCGCGGUAAUACGGAGGAUCCGAGCGUUAUCCGGAUUUAUUGGGUUUAAAGGGUGCGCAGGCGGGAGAUUAAGUCGGCGGUGAAAUUUUGCAGCUCAACUGUAAAAGUGCCUUCGAAACUGGUUUCCUUGAGUGUAGAUGAAGUAGGCGGAAUUUGUGGUGUAGCGGUGAAAUGCAUAGAUAUCACGAGGAACUCCGAUUGCGCAGGCAGCUUACUAAACUACUACUGACGCUCAGGCACGAAGGCGUGGGGAUCAAACAGGAUUAGAUACCCUGGUAGUCCACGCAGUAAACGAUGAUUACUGGCUGUUUGCGAUAUACAGUAAGCGGCUGAGCGAAAGCGUUAAGUAAUCCACCUGGGGAGUACGUUCGCAAGAAUGAAACUCAAAGGAAUUGACGGGGGCCCGCACAAGCGGAGGAACAUGUGGUUUAAUUCGAUGAUACGCGAGGAACCUUACCCGGGCUUGAAAUGCAUCUGACAGGGGCAGAGACGCCCUCUUCCUUCGGGACAGAUGUGUAGUGGUGCAUGGUUGUCGUCAGCUCGUGUCGUGAGAAUGUU
rnacentral:rRNA from 1 species